ACUUUCUCUCUCAGAAAAUUUUUCCACACGCCCCACUUCCCUAUCUCUUUUAAAACAGUUCAAAACGUGUCUUAUCCAUGUGAGAGGAUAAAGAUAAGUGGUUGCACAUUUGAAUUCAAAUCAAAUUUGAAUUCAAAUGCAAACCAACUCAUCCCUAUCCACUUGGGCGUGGGAAGAGAAGGUCCGUGGCUGCUUUGUGCAUGAAAAGGUUUCAC
rnacentral:lncRNA from 1 species